UGGGGAAUAUUGCACAAUGGGCGAAAGCCUGAUGCAGCAACGCCGCGUGAGCGAAGAAGGUCUUCGGAUCGUAAAGCUCUGUCCUUGGGGAAGAUAAUGACGGUACCCUUGGAGGAAGCCCCGGCUAACUACGUGCCAGCAGCCGCGGUAAUACGUAGGUUGCAAGCGUUGUCCGGAUUUACUGGGUGUAAAGGGCGUGUAGGCGGAGGAGCAAGUCAGAUGUGAAAUCCCGGGGCUUAACCCCGGAACUGCAUUUGAAAACUGUUUCCCUUGAGUAUCGGAGAGGCAAGCGGAAUUCCUAGUGUAGCGGUGAAAUGCGUAGAUAUUAGGAGGAACACCAGUGGCGAAGGCGGCUUGCUGGACGACAACUGACGCUGAGGCGCGAAAGCGUGGGGAGCAAAC
rnacentral:rRNA from 1 species